rnacentral:rRNA from 1 species
GGGAUUAAUAAGCGGAGGAAAAGAAACUAACAAGGAUUCCCCCAGUAACGGCGAGUGAAGCGGGAAGAGCUCAAAUUUGAAAUCUCCGAUGCUUGCAUCGGCGAAUUGUAGUUGCGAGAAGCACUUUCUAGGUGGAUCGGGCGCGCCUAAGUUGCUUGGAACAGCACGUCGCAGAGGGUGACAACCCCGUCUGUGGCGCGCCCGGCCGCUGACGAUGUGCUUUCGAAGAGUCGGGUUGUUUGGGAAUGCAGCCCAAAAUGGGUGGUAAACUCCAUCUAAAGCUAAAUAUUGGCGUGAGACCGAUAGCGAACAAGUACCGUGAGGGAAAGAUGAAAAGAACUUUGAAAAGAGAGUUAAAAAGUACGUGAAACCGUUGAAAGGGAAACGAAUGGACUCAGCAAUGCGCCGUUUGAGAUUCAGCCGGUCGGCCGGAUCGGUUCGGGUUUUGCGGAUCUGAAUGGACCGCGUUCCCGGGCUCGUUUCUCCCGACCGUCGCACUUCUCUUGGGCGCGCGUCAACGUCGGUUGGGACUGGGUCUCAAAGGUGCCGGGAAGGUAGGUUCGGACCCUCCUCCGGGGGUUCGUUCUGUUACAGCCCGGUUCUCUGUCAUGGCUCGGGCCCGACUGAGGAGUUUUGCAGCGCAUGCCUCUUGUGGCUAGGGUCCCGUCGCUCCGGCUGGUUGUCGAAUGCGGUGGACUGCUUGCAGUGCUCCGCGACUGCUGCCGGUCGUUGCGGUGGUGAUCUCGUACCAUGCGCUUGGGAUGUUGGCGGUCAUAUGGGUCCAUCCGACCCGUCUUGAAACAC